CCUCUGAUUGUUCUGUUUCUCAUGGUGCAGCAGUGGUUAUCUGAACAGAACACUCCUUUGCCCCAGCUGCAACCAGCUAGGGAAUUAUACUGUUCAGUAGACAGAGUAAGCAAAAUAUCAUUCUCAUUUUCAUUAAGUCCCCAAGGACCAACACCUUGACAUUUUUUCCUAAUUCAUUUUUUUUGUUUAAAUCCGGUUUCUGAUAUGUUCCAAAUAUAGUGACUUUCCAUGGAAGAUCGUGAACUAAUUUCUUUCUUGCUUUCUUGCUUUUUGGGGGUAUCAUCUAUUUGUCAAGGGAACACGAGGAUACCCGCAGCGCAGCGCUGCAAGAAGCCCAGUCAAGGGAAAUGGUUGUGUCGUCCUUCAUCCCAGGCCUCUCCGAGGAACCAUAGCCUUGGGUCCACAGUGCAUCGCUUACUCCAAGGAGAGUGGAAUAUGGAAAGCUCCUUCACUCAUCUCGAAAGGGAGAAGAAAUGGCUGGAAACGAACCACGCUGAAACCAGGAAGCCGGGAGGAGACCUCAAGGAUAAGUGAGCAGGGUCUUUGCCUUUGAGCAGGGAGGAGGGGGGGCAACUUGAGGACCACUUCCCAAAUUCAGGAGCCCCCUUGAAGCUGUGAGUUCAGGCCUCUGGCAAGAGUGACCUGUCCUUCUCUCAUUUCUCCACAGCCACCUGACUGUGAGAGAGCAAAGACUAAGCGGAUGAUCACACAAAGAAACAGACUGCAGUCGGGACUGCUUGCAGAGUAGUUCUGUGUGGUCUGUUUCCUGGCGAUCACACAACACACCAGAAAAUGUCCUUCAGCUUGACCUCGAUCUGUGCCCAAGCCGAACCUGUUCUGGCCAUAGCUGCAGAGUUCCUGUCUUUUUGGGGGGCCAUUCAAGCCACCCCUUCUGGUGUGAUCAGGCACGCACCUUCGCAGCCAUCUCAAAUCACACCCUGAGUGAAGGCGAAGGGGUGUCAGAAAGAAAAAAAGGGAAGAUCUUAGUUACAUUUUAAGAGGAACUAAUUACACUGCUCAUUACUUCCAAGCAACCACAUUGCUCUCCCUGCUCCAUCUCAGCAAGUAUGUCGUUGCGCUGUGCAUAAAUGAGUGCGUUGCAUGGACUUUAUCACCUGCUGUUAUUUUGGGCUAUCAAGUUGCUUUUGACUUAUGGCAACCGUAUGAAUGGAUGACCUGUAAAAGGCCGUGUCCUUAGCAUCUCUGCUCAGGUCUUAUAAACUAAAGACUGCGAUCCCUGUCUUGAGCUAAUCCAUCUCAUAUUUUGCCUUUCUCUUUUCUUGCUGCCUUCAGCUUUGCCAUUAUUGUCUGUCCCUAUGAGUCUUGUUUUCUCAGGAUGUUUCCAAACUAUGGUAGCCCCAACGCCUUAAUAGUAGAUGUGAAAAAUACAAGGAAACAUUCUCUAGUUCCCUUUAGUGGCCAGUUCUGAUAUCACACCUUGGCAAUAUUUAUAGCAAUGCAGAAGAUGCAACUGGAAAACACACUUCCCUUGCCACCUAGGACUGAUAAGAUGGCAUAAAAUCAUAAUUCUGGU
rnacentral:lncRNA from 1 species